UGUAAACAUCCUACACUCUCAGCUGUGGAAAGUAAGGAAGCUGGGAGAAGGCUGUUUACUCU
rnacentral:pre_miRNA from 1 species